GGCCUUGUAUUCAAAAAAUGAUUUUAAAUUGCAAGUUUAAAGGUGGGGAUGCCCUAAGGCUU
rnacentral:tRNA from 1 species